UUUUGUAGAAUGAGCCAGCGAGUUGCGGUGUGCGGCGAGGUUAAGUUUGGAAACGAGCCGCAGCGAAAGCGAGCCUUUAAGAUGGCGAGUGAGUCGCACGCUGCAGACGCGAAGCCGGGUGAGCUAUCCUGGGGCAGGCUGAAGCGGGGGUAAGACCCCGUGGAGGGCCGAACCCACUUCGGUUGAAAACGGAGGGGAUGACCCCAGGAUAGGGGUGAAAGGCCAAUCAAACCCGGAGAUAUCUCGUUCUCCCCGAAAUAGCUUUAGGGCUAGCCUCGGCCGUUAACCCGCGGUGGUAGAGCCACCGGAUCGACGAGGGGGCUUCACCGCCUACCGACUCGAACCGAACUCCGAAUGCCGCGGGUCGAGAGGCCGGGAGUCAGAGGGCGUGGGCUAAGCUGCGCGCUCGAGAGGGAAACAGCCCAGACCGCCCGCUAAGGUCCCCAAGUCAUCGCUGAGUGGCAAAGGAUGUGCGUCUGCCCAGACAACCAGGAUGUUGGCUUAGAAGCAGCCAUGCAUUUAAAGAGUGCGUAACAGCUCACUGGUCGAGUGGACAUGCGCCGACAAUUCACGGGGCUAAGCGAUGCACCGAAGCGGCGGACUGAGAAUUCAGUGGUAGGGGAGCUCUCCGCGGGGGGCGAAGCAGCAGGGCGACCUGCUGUGGACCGCGCGGAGGUGAGAAUGCUGGCAUGAGUAACGAGACCAGGGCGAGAAACCCUGGCGCCGUGAGCCUAAGGGUUCCUGGGCGAGGCUAAUCCCCCCAGGGUCAGUCGGGAGCUAAGGCGAGGCCGAGAGGCGUAGCCGAUGCGCAGCGGGCAGACAUUCCCGCACCGCCGACGGCGCGGCAUUACCGAUGGGGCGACGGAGAAGGGUAGCCGGGCGGGGUUCUGGACGUCCCCGUGAAAGCGCGUAGGGCGCGCAGCGUGGAAAUCAGCUGCGCACAGGGCCUGAGACGCGAGACGAAGCGACUGAGCGAAGCCGGUGAGCCCAUGCUUCCGAGAAAAACCUCUAGGGAGUGCCGUCGGCGCCCGUACCAAAACCGACACAGGUGGGCGGGUAGAACAUACCGAGGCGAUCGGGAGAACCACGGUUAAGGAACUCGGCAUACUGGCCCCGUAACUUCGGGAGAAGGGGCGCCGCCGGCUGUGAACGCCCUCGCGGCGGGAGCGGCUGGCGGCCGCAGCGAAACGGCCCAAGCGACUGUUUAUCAAAAACACAGGACUCUGCAAAGCGGCAACGCGACGUAUAGGGUCUGACGCCUGCCCGGUGCCGGAAGGUUACGCGGAUGCGUCAGCCGAAAGGCGAAGCGCUGAAGCCAAGCCCCGGUAAACGGCGGCCGUAACUAUAACGGUCCUAAGGUAGCGAAAUUCCUUGUCG
rnacentral:rRNA from 1 species